rnacentral:misc_RNA from 1 species
UGGCUCUCGCAUCGAUGAAGAACGCAGCGAAAUGCGAUAAGUAAUGUGAAUUGCAGAAUUCAGUGAAUCAUCGAAUCUUUGAACGCACCUUGCGCUCCUUGGUAUUCCGAGGAGCAUGCCUGUUUGAGUGUCAUUAAAUUAUCAAACCUCCCCGGCUUUGCAGCUGGUCAGGCUUUGGAUGUGGGGGUUUUCCCUUGCAGGCUUCCCGCUCGGAGGCCUGCUCCCCUGAAAUGCAUUAGUGGUGCCUCCCCUGCGGUAGCGCGACUGUCGGUGUGAUAACUAUCUACGCUGUCCGGUCCGCCCCACCUAUGCAGAGGGCUGACGCCGCUCCCAACCGUCCACUUGCCCUGGACACCAUGACAAUUUUGACCUCAAAUCAGGUAGGACUACCCGCUGA